rnacentral:rRNA from 1 species
UUGAACGCUGGCGGCAUGCCUUACACAUGCAAGUCGAACGGUAACAGGUCUUCGGAUGCUGACGAGUGGCGAACGGGUGAGUAAUACAUCGGAACGUGCCCAGACGUGGGGGAUAACGAGGCGAAAGCUUUGCUAAUACCGCAUACGAUCUAAGGAUGAAAGCAGGGGACCGCAAGGCCUUGUGCGUUUGGAGCGGCCGAUGGCAGAUUAGGUAGUUGGUGGGAUAAAAGCUUACCAAGCCGACGAUCUGUAGCUGGUCUGAGAGGACGACCAGCCACACUGGGACUGAGACACGGCCCAGACUCCUACGGGAGGCAGCAGUGGGGAAUUUUGGACAAUGGGCGAAAGCCUGAUCCAACAAUGCCGCGUGCAGGAUGAAGGCCUUCGGGUUGUAAACUGCUUUUGUACGGAACGAAAAGGCUCUGGCUAAUACCUGGGGCACAUGACGGUACCGUAAGAAUAAGCACCGGCUAACUACGUG